AACACGUCAAGGUAAUCUCACAAGACAUCAUGGGCUUAAACGGCUACAAUCGUGAACAACGGUUUCGAUAAUCAAAGUAAGAGUGAGAUAAAAGAAAAUGAUGAAUUUGAUUACUUGGGUUAUUGUAUUCACGGGGCUGAGACCUCUAAUAUACGCUCUAGACGCUAUAACUGGGGAAAUUGCCUGUAAGAAUAUCAUGGAGUUUUAUGUUGAUGGUGUUCUGUACAAGAAUGGUAAUAACAGCUACUGGGAUCAACCAGCAACUGUCAGUAUUCCUGAUGAUACGCAACUUAUUGCUAUAAAGUGUCGUAAUACAGAUGAACCUGUUGGAAUAAAGAUGACAUUGAGUAAUGGUAUUGAAACCAGUGCAGAAUGGAAAUGUUACAAUAAACAUAAGCAAGGAUGGAAUGAACCUGGAUUUGAUGACGUUGCUUGGCCAAACGCUGUAGUGGUUAGACAUGAAUGGAUUUGGACAACUGGAUACCCCCAAGAUAACACAGCGUAUUGUAGAAAGAAUAUCAGUGACCGGGCAGUCGUGGAAACGGAUGAUAAUUCACGAGGUCUGACUUGUCCGGAAAUUACUGGAAUAGCAGUUGGUGUUUCUGUACUUGUUUCCGUGGUAGUCAUUAUAGUUGCUAUUGUAAAAGUACGUAAGAAGGAAGAUAGCAAAAGAAAAUGUCGCUUUCUGAUACCAAUGAUACUAAUACCCCUACUAGUUGUGCUUGCUACAGGAUUAGUAACUUAUUUUCUGUGUUUAGACUCGAUGGGUUAUGAAGUAGUUGUUGGUACUGAUGUUGUAAUGGGUUUAGUUGAGCUCAUACUUCAAGUUGUCCUUUGCUACUUGGCUAGCAGGGAAAGCAGACCUCAGAAAUCCAAAAAGUAUCUUGGUGAGUCUCCUGAUGAGCCCCCUGAUGAGCCUCCUCCUGAUGAGCCUCCUCCUUAUGAGAAUCAUUGUUUUAUUUAGCCUUCUCCUUCUUUCUUCUAAUCAGCUGUUUUCUUUUCAUCAGCGUUUUGGAGCUAUGGAUUUAAGACUCAUUUCACAAUAAUCAAGAUUAUGGAAACUGCUGUAUUUCAUGAAAUCAAUUGUGAACAACUCAGUUUGCCAUUCGGAAAAUCUGCUGUCUAUGGCAAUUUCAAUUGUUUCAAACAUUUUCUUUGAGCCCUUUACUAUUUACUAAUUAAAUCAAAAUGAUUAAGAAAUAUGACAUUUAAACUGAUGUUCUUAACUCAAAAAUUAAAUAUGUUGCCUAUCAAGCUUGUAGUAGAAAAGGACUAACUACAUAUGUGGGCCUUGUUGUUUCGGGCGAGUCAUGUUGUUUUUAAAAGAUCAUAAAUUAUAGUUGUUUGUUUUUGAACACAUAUUUUGGCUUUUAAAAUAAGUAGUAACAAAGUAUUAAGAGGUUUAUAAGGCGAAGUAAAAUGUUUUGUGAUUGUUUAACUGGAAUUGGGUUAACAGUGUCGUAAUUUGGAAAUUAACACAUAAACAUUCUCAAAGUAUUAACGGGGUUAUCUCAUCUCAUGUGUAUUACCGCGAUUGUUAGGGAUUGCACGAUAUUAAUGGAGGUAUUUUAUAUUGUGUUUUGACGUAGUACCCCAGGUUGGCCCGAAUUUAUGGGAGGGAGAGAUUUUAUUUGUAUUUAGAGAACAGGGGAACUACGGUGGCUAAGUGGGUAAGCCGCUGGUUGGCUAGUCUGGAGGUCGUGUGUUCGCCGAGAAUGUUCAGCUGCCUAGUUUUGCGGAGAGGAGGAAAACCCAGGUCCGUGUAUACAUUGACAUGCACGUACAAUAUCCCUUGGCAGUUGGAAUUCGAUAUAAGAGUAGGCCUAGACCGUAGGGCCGCUGUCCGGGCAAAAUUUCCCUCAUAGCACACUGUAUGGCGUAUUCCCGUCUUCAUUAACCCAGUCGGAAUAGAUCAGUAGAACGUUAAACCCCCUUUCAUUUUGAGCAUUUUAUAUAUUUUUUUAUUAUUUAUUGUUCAUGUCAUAUAAAUAAUCUUAGAUGAUAUAAAAAAAAAUGAUCCGCAUUUGAUGAAAUACAUACAUACAAAUACAUAGCCUGUCAACUUCAUACUAGAUAUCUGUAAGUAUACUUCAUUCAGGAUAGACACUUCAUUUAUAUAAGUAGAUAAAACAUAUUUGUUAAAUUUUAUGGUUUUGAAUAGAAAUAGAAAUUUAAGUACAACCAUAUUAAUAAUACACCCUUUUUAAAGUAAAAUGUGGCAACUUGAACAUGUACAACGUCUCCCCAUUUAUUCACAAUAUUUGUUAUGUUUAUUGUAUUUGAUUAUCUAUAACAAAUGAAUUUGAUGUUGCAUUUUGAUAGAUUUAUAACAAAUGAAUUUGCUGUUGCAUUUUGAUAGAUUUGUAAAAUUUUCAUUAAUUUAUCGAAUGCAAUUUUAUGAUUCGUUCAAUGUAACCCCACUUUUGAGGAAAGGCUGAACACCUAAAUAUUUUUUCUUAAAAAUUGAAAAGAAUAAUAUUUUUAAAACAAAAUGUAUUCUUAUUUUGUUGAAAUGUUAAUUCUCUAAGUAUUUUGAUGAAUUUAAAUUAUUCUGAAUGGAAAUUUAGGUAUCGUUCAAAAUUACCCCACAGGCGUGUCAAGAUUGUACAGCCACAAGUUUUUGAAAAAAUAAAAAAAUUGUAUUCCUGCACCAAUAUAAACCGGAAUUUAUAAUAAAACCUUUUCUUGUCCAUGAAUUAUAGCUAAAAAAAAUAUGACCUUUUAUAGACUUUUGUUUAUAUGAUUGUUUUUUUUAUCAGUGUUUAAUUUCUCUUUUUCUUUAUAUUUUAAUUAGUGUAGUUAUUGUCGACUAUAUUUAUAUUUAAUUCGUUAAUGAUCUUUAGGGUUGAAAGGAAUGUUACACGAUAUGAGAAUAAUGUCUGAACGAUAUCAUACCACCUUGUUCACAAUGCGAUAUUAAUUAAACAUCCUAUCAUAUCAGCCGUCACUUAUGACAGAUAGUUGAUUCUUUAAACAUCUGGUCGGCCAUUACAAGAUGGUGUUAUGUAAUGUCCGGUGACUUGUACAGAAACCUAAUCUAGUAUUACGUAACAAGACAGCUGUGUAAUCCUCUUGACAUCUGAAAAGGGCCCAAGGGCAUAAAGAAGGGAUCAGGAAGUUAGUUAGCUAAACGUUAAGUAGGGACGAGAAGCUCUGACACCAUGGGUUAGUUGGGAAUGGGUUUUCAGUCCAGGCCAGAGCGUCCACGUUAGCACCAGGGCUGCCUUAAGACAAGCUAACUAAGAAGUCAUUAACUAAGGAAUCGUUAACUGUAUUGAGUCGUUUAAUUAUAAGGAGCUUUUGUACUUUAUCUGGCUACAAGAAUAAAAGUAUUAUAUGAAGUUAAA